rnacentral:lncRNA from 1 species
CCCAGGACCACUGAACAUUCAGAGGGGGCUGGAGGCAGAGAAAAACUUCCCCUACUCAAGAAAAAGAAGCUAUUUUUGUCAAGUUAAAUGAGCCUGAACCUGCAGAGCUGAAUUGGCAGAUGAAUAUUGCUAAUUGGUGCAGUUUCUUCGGUGCAGGAAAGAGUUUCCAAUCAGACCGGCAAUUCAUUGGCCACAUGAAGGACAGCCAGUUGUAAGGGGUAAAAUAAAUUGGAGAAGAGAACAUCCACAUGGAUUAAGUCCCAAGCUCACCCUUUGUUAGUGAGAAUGUAGUCACGUGGCCAUACCUACUACAAGGUCUAUUUCUGGCAUCUCUUUCCACAGCACAGGCAGCCUUGCAGAAUGAAAAGUAUUUCUCCCACCUGCCCUGGCCUCUGCCCUGGCUCUGAAAGAGGCAGGCUGUGAAUGAUGGUUGUCAGUGUC